AGCGACACUUCAAACUAUGUCCAUCAAUAUUACCCAUUUUCUAAACUGUUUCUUGUCCUCCAAUCGAAAUCCACAGCCACUGCUUCCAUCUGAGGUAAGUAUU